GCAAGUCGAGCGGUAGCACAGAGAAGCUUGCUUCUUGGGUGACGAGCGGCGGACGGGUGAGUAACGCGUGGGAAUCUACCGGGUAGUGGGGGACAACAGUCGGAAACGACUGCUAAUACCGCAUACGCCCUUUGGGGGAAAGUGGGGGAUCUUCGGACCUCACGCUAUCAGAUGAGCCCGCGUCGGAUUAGCUUGUUGGUGAGGUAAAGGCUCACCAAGGCGAUGAUCCGUAGCUGGUCUGAGAGGAUGACCAGCCACACUGGGACUGAGACACGGCCCAGACUCCUACGGGAGGCAGCAGUGGGGAAUAUUGGACAAUGGGGGCAACCCUGAUCCAGCCAUGCCGCGUGUGUGAAGAAGGCCUUCGGGUUGUAAAGCACUUUCAGCUGUGAGGAAAGGUGAGUGGUUAAUACCCGCUUGCUGUGACGUUAACAGCAGAAGAAGGACCGGCUAACUCCGUGCCAGCAGCCGCGGUAAUACGGAGGGUCCGAGCGUUAAUCGGAAUUACUGGGCGUAAAGCGCGCGUAGGUGGUUCAGUCAGUCAGAUGUGAAAGCCCCGGGCUCAACCUGGGAACUGCACCUGAUACUGCUGAGCUAGAGUACGGUAGAGGGUAGUGGAAUUUCCGGUGUAGCGGUGAAAUGCGUAGAGAUCGGAAGGAACACCAGUGGCGAAGGCGACUACCUGGACCGAUACUGACACUGAGGUGCGAAAGCGUGGGUAGCAAACAGGAUUAGAUACCCUGGUAGUCCACGCCGUAAACGAUGUCAACUAGCCGUUGGGGGACUUGAUCCUUUAGUGGCGAAGCUAACGCGAUAAGUUGACCGCCUGGGGAGUACGGCCGCAAGGUUACAACUCAAAUGAAUUGACGGAA
rnacentral:rRNA from 1 species